GGGCGUGUGGUCUAGUGGUAUGAUUCUCGCUUUGGGUUUGUGAGAGGCCCUGGGUUCAAUUCCCAGUAUGCCCC